UUCUCUCCUCUCCCUCCUGCGCUCACACACUCACUCACACACAAUGUGCCAUCCUGACAAGGCUUUUACUUCUGAUAAGCUCCAAUGUGUGUUUAAUGAAUACAAAGCCGCGGUCUGGGUGCCGCCUCGGCCGCGGCCGCUCUCCCGCGCUCCUUUGCCAGAAGUAUCAAAUGAUAAGAACUGAGCACACUGGAUGAAAUAAUACUUGCACUGGGAGCACUAAGAAAAGAUUGAUCUCUGGGCUGGUGAACAUAAUCUCUGUCCCAGUCAGAAAAGGAGAGAGGAAAUUAGCAGAGCGAUUGGUGGAGAAUGAUAUCUGUCAAAAGAAACACUUGGAGAGCACUGAGUUUAGUAAUAGGUGACUGCCGGAAAAAAGGGAACUUUGAAUAUUGUCAAGAUCGUACUGAGAAGCACUCCACAAUGCCAGACUCACCUGUGGAUGUGAAGACGCAAUCUAGGCUGACUCCUCCAACAAUGCCACCUCCCCCAACUACUCAAGGAGCUCCAAGAACCAGUUCAUUUACACCGACAACGUUAACUAAUGGCACGAGCCAUUCUCCUACA
rnacentral:lncRNA from 10 species